GUCUCUUCAGAGACAUCCGAUAAAAUUGGAAUGAUACAGAGAAGAUUAGCAUGGCCCCUGCGCAAGGAUAACACACACAAAUCGAAAAAUGGUCCAAUUUUUU
rnacentral:snRNA from 1 species